CAGGAUGGCAGAGAGUUAGGGAGACGACCAGCUGGGCCGUCUGCUUUAGUCACCUUGCAGUGGAGAAGACUUUGGUCUGCCUGGACCAACAUCAGGAGGAUUUUUCCCGGGAACAAGAACGCAUCUUGGUUUUCUGCCUUCUCUACCAUCAGUUCUCACCCAGCAGACCAGCUAUUUCUGGAAAGGCCACUCACUGGUUGAGAGUGAUAUCAGAGGGCUGUGGUAGACAGCUGACUUCACAAGCAGAGAUCCUGGCCGCACGUCUUACUGACUGGCUGUCCCUGGGUGGGUUAUUUAACUGCACUCCUUCGGGGAACAUGGAUUCGCAUAAGGACCAGUGAGAUGCAUAAGGCAGGGCCUCCAGCAAGGGCCUGGUGCUGAACGGGUUGUCAGCAAAGGUGACCCUGUCCUGCCCCUUGCAACCUCCCAUUGCCCACCCACACGCUGAUGUUAGUAAAUCAGACAUCCAACUGUUAGUAAAUCUUACACCCAACUUCAGAUGGUACAUAGGUC
rnacentral:lncRNA from 1 species